AGAGGUCCAAAUCUGGAAGGCAGUCCAAGACAGGCACACAAAUAAGACAAGGAGCAGGCAAUAAAUGGAAUCCAGAGAUAUAAGCAUGCUUUUAUGACGCUGUAAACUGGCAGAAAUCUUGUGCAAACAGCCGCCUCGUGCUGAAAAAAACAAAACAGGAAUGUGAUCACACCAGAUGGGUGAACUGAACAAACUCAACAUCAUCCAUGUUACUGGGUCCAAAGGAAAGGGAUCAACAUGUGCUUUUACUGAAAGAGUACUCAGGAGUUACAGCUUUUGGACUGGAUUUACAGCUCACCACAGCAGCAGUAUGUGUGUGCAGCAAACCAGAUCAGCUGGCAGAGCCUGAAUUCAACAGAAACAAUAAAUCACCGCCAUCGCCAUCUGGUGAGAAGCUCUGUGAAUUACAGCCUGGUGUUCCCCUGCAUCCUCAGCGCCCUCCAGUGGAUCAGCCAGAGAAAGGAGAAUCGGCCAGCUCAUCCUCAGUCCACUGAGCUCCCUGACUCAGAGAGGCAGGUCACGUCUCUGUGAUGGUGACUGGCAGUCCGUACCUGGUGGGAGGAGUGCUGAAACUUCGACUCGUAAAGGAUCAGAAGUCAUCAUCACUAUUGAUCACUGUAAUCAGUCUACAGGAACAUAUUCUGUAUGAGUUUAUAGGGACUUUCUCCUUGUAGGGUUUUGUUAAAACUUGACAUUUAAUAUUUUCUGGGUUUUUUUUCCGUAUAUCUCAGCAGCAACACUACAGUACUUUAAUGUAUCCAAUCUUUUCUGCUCAAUAGUUAUUUAUAUUAGCAUUAUAAUACUAAAGUUACUUUACAACAAAAUCUCCUAUCUGGAGACAUUAUCUGUUAUGCUCAACAUUCAGUAUAGUGAAAGUAAAGCACUUUAUCUUUUAUUUAUCCUCUGUGGUAUUACUAUAUAGUAAUGUAUCUUGAUCUUCUAUUGUAUUCACAUAAUUUUUGUGGGCCUAUAAUAAUUCCAGUACUGUUUCUAGUUUUACAGUGACAGUACUUCCUACUUGAUAUUAUUGGUGAGCUUUGUUUUCAUGGUGUCACUAUGAUAUUGAGUAAUAAAUAUUACACUAUAUAGCUAAAGGUAUAUGGACCCACUCUUCUGGUUUCAGGCUUUCCACCACAUGUUGGAACCUGGCUGCAGGGAUUUGUUCCUAUUCAGCCACAACAGUAUUAGUGAGGUCCAACACUGAUGUUGGGUCAUAAGGUCUGGCUCGCAGUCAGCGUCCCAGUUUAUCCUAAAAGUGUUGGAUGGGGUUGAGGUCAGGGCUCUGUGCAGGCCAGUCAAGUUCUUCCACACCAAACUGAAAACCAUUUCUUUGUGGAGCUGGCUUUCUGUACGGGGGGACAUUGUCAUGUUGAAACAGGAAAGGGACAAACACAAUUUUUCUUCAUUGGAAUUUAAGGGCUCAAACCAUGAAAAACUGCCCUAGACAGGGUGUGUCCACAUACUGGCCAUAUAGUGUAUAAUCAUAUCAAAUCAUGUAAGAUAAAUAUAAUAUAAAAUGUAGAAUGUAACAACACAUCAUAUUCCUAUUGUGACAAUAUUUCUUUUUCUAGAAAAAGUACUGUGAUCUGAAAUUUUGUACCUUCACAUGUCCUACAUAUGUUAAAUUUGAUUGUAAGCAGAUCACUGCAGGGACUUGAUUGACAGCUCAUGGCCCAUAGGUGUCCCCAAUGCAGAUUUAAUUAUAUUUCUGAAGUUUACAGCUUCAGUAAGAGGAAAGUCUUUCACUCUUGCUUUUCAUGUGCUUACUAUAAUAUCACUUAUUAAACAGUAUAAUAUCAGCCCAUGAAAUUACUGCUGAACUAUGUAUAACAUUACAUUAGUGAAUUUACUAUGUAUAUUUUAUUUUCCAUGUCAUCUGUAGUAUGCCUACCACAUCACUACUACAUGUAAACAGGAUUUAGAUUUUGCAAGCAUUAACAAACAGAUUCUCACUCAUUUGAGCUGCAGCGAAGGAUGUUGUAUUCUCAGUUUAUCAUUAUGUGUUUUAUUUCCAUUUCAAAAAUAAUGGUCACUACUUGAAAGCUGUGUUUCUGUUUAUGACACUGUCUACACUCUGAAUGCAGAGUUAUGAUGACAUUUAAGAAACAAAAAAUAUAUAUUGAAUUAUCUGUU